UACGGGGGGGGCAAGCGUUGUUCGGAAUUACUGGGCGUAAAGGGUUCGUAGGCGGCCAACUAAGUCAGACGUGAAAUCCCUCGGCUUAACCGGGGAACUGCAUCUGAUACUGGAUGGCUUGAGUUCGGGAGAGGGAUGCGGAAUUCCAGGUGUAGCGGUGAAAUGCGUAGAUAUCUGGAGGAACACCGGUGGCGAAGGCGGCAUCCUGGACCAAUAUUGACGCUGAGGAGCGAAAGCUAGGGGAGCAAACGGG
rnacentral:rRNA from 1 species